rnacentral:rRNA from 1 species
UACGUAGGGUGCAAGCGUUAAUCGGAAUUACUGGGCGUAAAGCGUGCGCAGGUGGUUUUGUAAGUUUGUCGUGAAAGCCCCGGGCUCAACCUGGGAAUUGCGAUGAAGACUGCAAGGCUUGAAUCUGGCAGAGGGGGUAGAAUUCCACGUGUAGCAGUGAAAUGCGUAGAGAUGUGGAGGAACACCGAUGGCGAAGGCAGCCCCCUGGGUCAAGAUUGACGCUCAUGCACGAAAGCGUGGGGAGCAAACAGG